GUGCCAGCCGCCGCGGUAAUACGAACUGUGCAAACGUUAUUCGGAAUCACUGGGCUUAAAGGGUGCGUAGGCGGCUUAUCAAGUAGGGUGUGAAAGCCCCCGGCUUAACCGGGGAAUUGCGCCCUAAACUGACGAGCUGGAGUGGGACAGGGGUGUGUGGAACUUCCGGUGGAGCGGUGAAAUGUGUUGAUAUCGGAAGGAACGCCGGUGGCGAAAGCGACACACUGGGUCUCAACUGACGCUGAGGCACGAAAGCCAGGGGAGCGAACGGGAUUAGAUACCCCAGUAGUCC
rnacentral:rRNA from 1 species